rnacentral:rRNA from 1 species
UGGCGGACGGGUGAGUAAUGUCUGGGGAAACUGCCUGAUGGAGGGGGAUAACUACUGGAAACGGUAGCUAAUACCGCAUAACGUUGCAAGACCAAAGAGGGGGACCUUCGGGCCUCUUGCCAUCGGAUGUGCCCAGAUGGGAUUAGCUAGUAGGUGGGGUAACGGCUCACCUAGGCGACGAUCCCUAGCUGGUCUGAGAGGAUGACCAGCCACACUGGAACUGAGACACGGUCCAG